ensembl:lncRNA
UAUUGAAAACAAUUUGAGCAUAAGUGAACCUGCGCAGUUCAAACCUGUGUUGUUCAAGGGUCAACUGAUUUCUUUUAUCUUGGGCUUCAGUUCUCUCCCAGUUGGCACCUACAAAUUUCAGGGUAUUUUUUAAGCGUCCCUUGUUGUGUAAAGACGCACUGACUGAGAGGCUAAUUCCCACGUAUGCCUAUUACAGCCCCUUUACAAUAAUCAAACAUAGAAUCCUACCUUAUUAUGCAUUAAAAAUUAGGAAAUAUUUUAGGAACUUUUCAGGGAGAAUCUUAAAAUACAUUGUUUUUAUUUUAUUUUAUUUUCUUAAGACAAGAGCCAACAGAAGGAAAGAGGCAUGGUGGGGCAGUGUAUUUGAGUUGUCAACAGCUUCUGCAGUGUCAGGUCAAUUACAUCAGCACUUGGUCUGGACCAGGGGAGAGGAAUGGUUCUGCCUCCCGGGAAUGUCAGAAGGACCUGAUAAUUAUAUUUGGCAAAGCCAUGAAGAGUGACUCUGUAAUGUCAUUGCAAAGAAUUACUCUCUUAAUAGCAUCUCUAGAUGUCCAAGCUGUUCAAAUGCAAUAGCACUUCUUUUCUGCUGCAGCUUUCCUUUCCGCUGGGCUGUUUCCCAGCUGGUCCUCUUGUUCUUCCUUGCCCUUUUCUGUCUUCUGCCUUCCCAGCCCUGUUUCUGCAGCCCCUCCUUCUGCACCCACAACAGUCUCUGCUGACCCCUGUUUUAGAGUUGGAGUCACCUGAGAAUGUGUGUGAGGGAGAUACUUGCCAACACCCAGCAUAUUGAACAUGUGGUAUCAACAAGGUGAAGUGUGUAGCCUUAGACUAGCCAUAAUAUCGACCAUCUGCUUCCUUGCGGCAUCCGCUACUUCUGUGUUGGUGGAACUCAGAUGUCGCGGGAAAGGUCACCGGUGAUUCAUGACUGCAACAAAUUCUUUUCCUAAUUGUGCCAUAUGUUAUGCCCUUCAACACAACUUACUAAUCUCUGCCUCGGUUUCUCCAUCUGUGAAAGUGGUGUAAUACUUAUCUACCUCCCUUGAAUGUUGUAAAGACUAGUCUAUGUUAGUAAAGCACUUUUGAAAUAAAGAGUGAUGUAAAGCGUUU